GACAGAGGGUGCAAACGUUGUUCGGAAUUACUGGGCGUAAAGCGCGUGUAGGCGGCCAUCUAAGUCGGGCGUGAAAUCCCACGGCUCAACCGUGGAAGCGCAUCCGAAACUGCUUCGCUCGAGUCUCGGAGAGGAAGGUGGAAUGCUUGGUGUAGAGGUGAAAUUCGUAGAUAUCAAGCAGAACACCUGCGGCGAAGGCGGCCCUCUGGACGAUGACUGACGCUGAGACGCGAAAGCGUGGGGAGCGAACAGG
rnacentral:rRNA from 1 species